rfam:Conexibacter woesei DSM 14684, complete genome.
GCGCGUCUAGCUCAUCGGGUUAGAGCACCGGACUUUUAAUCCGGCGGGCUGGGUUCGAGUCCCAGGGCGCGCA